UUGAUCCUGGCUCAGAAUCAACGCUGGCGGCGUGCCUAACACAUGCAAGUCGAACGCGAAAGUCCCGCAAGGGAUGAGUAGAGUGGCAAACGGGUGAGUUACGCGUGGGUGACCUGCCUUCGAGUGGGGGAUAACGUUCCGAAAGGGACUCUAAUACCGCAUAACAUCCUGCCUUUUAAGAGGUGGACAUCAAAGCCUGUGACCGUAAGGCCAGGCGCUUGACGAGGGACCCGCGUCUGAUUAGCUAGUUGGUGGGGUAAUGGCUCACCAAGGCAUCGAUCAGUAUCCGGCCUGAGAGGUCGGACGGACACACUGGGACUGAGACACGGCCCAGACUCCUACGGGAGGCUGCAGUGGGGAAUUGUUCGCAAUGGGCGCAAGCCUGACGACGCAACGCCGUGUGGAGGAUGAAGACCUUCGGGUCGUAAACUCCUUUCGAUCGAGACGAAUGGCCUCCGGGUAAAUAGCCUGGAGGAGUGACGGUACCGAGAGAAGAAGCUCCGGCUAACUCCGUGCCAGCAGCCGCGGUAAUAAGGU
rnacentral:rRNA from 1 species